rnacentral:rRNA from 1 species
AUACGGAGGGGGCUAGCGUUGUUCGGAAUUACUGGGCGUAAAGCGCGCGUAGGCGGCUCGUCUAGUUGGGCGUGAAAGCCCGGGGCUCAACCCCGGAAUUGCGUUCAAUACUGGCGAGCUAGAGACCGGAAGAGGAGAGUGGAAUUCCCAGUGUAGAGGUGAAAUUCGUAGAUAUUGGGAAGAACACCAGUGGCGAAGGCGGCUCUCUGGUCCGGUACUGACGCUGAGGUGCGAAAGCGUGGGGAGCAAACAGGAUUAGAAACCCCAGUAGUCC